rnacentral:rRNA from 1 species
GUGUGGAAUAUUGGACAAUGGGCGAAAGCCUGAUCCAGCCAUGCCGCGUGUGUGAAGAAGGUCUUCGGAUUGUAAAGCACUUUAAGUUGGGAGGAAGGGUAGUAACCUAAUACCUUGCUGUUUUGACGUUACCGACAGAAUAAGCACCGGCUAACUUCGUGCCAGCAGCCGCGGUAAUACGAAGGGUGCAAGCGUUAAUCGGAAUUACUGGGCGUAAAGCGCGCGUAGGUGGUUUUGUAAGUUGGAGGUGAAAUCCCCGGGCUCAACCUGGGAACUGCCUCGAAAACUGCAUGACUAUAGUACGGUAGAGGGUAGUGGAAUUUCCUGGGUAGCGGUGAAAUGCGUAGAUAUAGGAAGGAACACCAGUGGCGAAGGCGACUACCUGGACUGAUACUGACACUGAGGUGCGAAAGCGUGGGGAGCAAACAGGAUUAGAUACCCGGGUAGUCC